rnacentral:rRNA from 1 species
AAGUCGUAACAAGGUCUCCGUUGGUGAACCAGCGGAGGGAUCAUUACUGAGUACUACACUCUCUACCCUUUGUGAACUAUUAUACCUGUUGCUUCGGCGGCGCCCGCGAGGGUGCCCGCCGGUCUCAUCAGAAUCUCUGUUUUCGAACCCGACGAUACUUCUGAGUGUUCUUAGCGAACUGUCAAAACUUUUAACAACGGAUCUCUUGGCUCCAGCAUCGAUGAAGAACGCAGCGAAACGCGAUAUGUAAUGUGAAUUGCAGAAUUCAGUGAAUCAUCGAAUCUUUGAACGCACAUGGCGCCUUCCAGUAUCCUGGGAGGCAUGCCUGUCCGAGCGUCGUUUCAACCCUCGAGCCCCCGUGGCCCGGCGUUGGGGAUCUGCCACGGCAGGCCCCUAAAACCAGUGGCGGACCCGAAGGCCCUCUCCUUUGCGCAGUAGCAUCAGCCUCGCAUUGGGAUCCCUCGGCGUCCUGCCUCUAAACCCCCCACAAGUCCGCUCCGGCGGCACCAAGGUUGACCUCGGAUCAGGUAGGAAUACCCGCUGAACUUAA